CCCGCGUAGUGGGUCCUGCGGCGCGGAGGGACUGCGGGACUCUGGUUCCGCAAGGCCCUUCCGCCCCAACUGGAACUGGGACCUACAGGCCUUUUCAAAGCCAACACCCGGUUGUAAUUUCCUCCCGCAGAGCAUUUAACCCACAAUUUUGCUAUUUCUAACCGUUUGGGAAUUUCAUUUCUCAAAUCUUACCCGAGGGGGGGAGAAAUUCGAAUCAACGGGAACUUAAGUGGUUUUGAUUCAGUUAGUACAUCAGCAGCAAGUCACCUAAUAAAACUAGUCAUGAACGUUUCCGUCUGGAUUUGGAAGCGAGGACUUCGCUCCAGAUAAGGUAGAUGCCCUUAGACCCAAUGAUUAGUACAUUACGCCAGGAAUUUCUAGAGCUGAUGCAGAUAUUUGAUGUCUAACUCCUGAAGUGUGGGUGGUAUCUACUAAGUUGGCCCCCUCUCAGGUUUAUACCCUGCACCCUCACCCAGCAGCCCUGACCUCCAAGGAAAGACCUGAAGGUGGACAGCGCCUCUGCUUAGAGAGGAGGACUGCAUAGAUUUGACGCCAGUUUGUAAACUGGUGGACAAAAUUAAUCACUGUUUCCACCUAGAAGUCCCCAGUCCCCACCAAAACCAACUGUCUUCUCAGGAGAAGUAAACUGAGUGUGUGCGGGUUUUCUGGCCAAGACCAUUGCUAAGUCCUGCAAAACUCACUGAAAUGAAGCGUGAACGAUGUUUAAAAAGAAAGAAAGAAAGAAAAGAAAAGACAGACCUGGGUGGAAGACUUCGGUGUGUGGGGGAGCGUGAUGUACGACCUGGGGGCUCUAACCCAAAAUUACAAAGGCUGCGUGGGCGGGACUCACCCAGACAGUUGUACUGGACCAAGCAAAUCCCGGAUUCACACGACACCCUUUGCUGCGACCAAUACGUGCUUCCAGUUCGAUUACCACGGAAGCUCUUUGGGCUGAUUCAACUUGACCUAAACGUGUGACCCAUCUCGUUUACCAGAGGAAAAGGGGCCUGUGACUCCUUUCACUUUGGCAGCACCAGAAAAGUGGAACUGUGGGCUAAAGCGUGUGUCUGUGUGUGUGUGUGUGUGCGUGUGUGUGUGUAGUUUGGUAGGUGUAGACGCACAUGUUCGACUUCCAAACAUUUUUGUAAAGGUGUGUUCUCGUUUGUAAUUUACAAACCAAGUAAAUUUCAAGGAGUUUAAUAGUGUUAUCAAACACUUAAAUGCAAUCAGCUUUCCUCCAAAAUUGCAUUCUCUUUAUUCUUAACAUCCUUGGCUAAGAAAUGUGGGAUUUAUUGGGAAACCUUCCAUAGGAAAUUCUUAGUCAAGUCAGAUGUGUUAAAUAUAUACGGACUGAGGUAACUUAAAAAAAGUUAAAGUGAAGCAUACAAAAAUAUUCCAGUAUGCUUUGCAACCUUAUUCAGAAAAGCACAUCUUUCACGUCCCCACAAUAAUUCCUUGCCCUAGUAUCAAAGUGGCUUCUGAUAGUUCCACAUCAUGGGGGGGAGGGGAAGUUAUCAAAAACCUGCACCCAAAUUUUGAUUGGGAUUCAAUAUUCUAAGCAAAAUAUGCUCAACAGAUGAUAGUAGAGAUGAAGCCAGAAAACAACUCCAGCUAUUUAAACUGCCAAAUGAGACAUAAAGCUGCAUUGUAAAAAUCAU